UUAGUUAAAGCCAAAGAGAGGCAUGUUACUGUUAAUAACAAAAAUGAAGAAAUCUUCUAACUAAA
rnacentral:tRNA from 1 species